CCCCAGCGCCAGCCGCGCGGCCGCGCACCAUUCACCCGGGGGAGAGGCGGAGGAACGUGCGGGUGGGGCAGGGAAGGAAGGCGGCCCCAUCUCCGCCCCCCUUCCCUUCCUUUAUCCCAGUGGGGCCCAGACCCGCGCAACCAGGCGGGGAGGGGAGGUGGGCGCGCGAUUGGGUUGCGAUCUGGAGCAGUGGGGACAGGUCAGGAACCGGCGCGUAUUUCUGCAGUGAGACCACAGGACGGACAUCGGCGCCUUCGGCUUCGAUGGAGUUGCGAUUUUGCUCUUUCCAGGGAAACAGUGGCAGGGUGUUUGCUGCUUAUCGGUUCCUGCGGAUAUGCCUGGGUCCCAGGACAUUCCACUGGAGGCUUGGACUGCAUUUAGGAGCCCCUAUCCCUUCCCUGUCCACACUGUUAGUGAGCAAUUUCAUAUGUUUGCAUUUAGACCCAUAGACUCAGAACGACUCAUCACACACACACACAGUGUACACUGACACACUCACAUUCGCACACUUAGGUAUACAGCCUGAUCCUUGCUCUGACCUGGUAACAACGCUUCCUCCUCCAGAGACUUUGAGAUAGAGCGAGCGAUCCCUGUGCACCAUUCAUCCAUGCUCCCACCUCGCCAGUAUGGCUGGCUUAGUUCUGGAAGGGGCUUAAGAGGAACAAGCCCCAGCUGUGCUUCUGGCUGGGACUUAAACCCCCCUUCUGGGCCCUAAAGCCACGCUUCUUUGUGGACCGGACCUGACUCUCCAGGAAUCUGGGAACCCGCUAUUUCACUCUAUUUUGGGACAAGAAAAAGGGGCUCUUUGGGGCCACUUCCUGCCUUCCCCUCAAGUAGGAUCUCCAGCCUGCAGAGGGUGCCUAGUCCUUCUUUGCCCAAGAACCAGUCCAAGAAGCCUUUCCUCUGUGCCUGGGAAAUGCAACCUUUUCUUGGGAGCAUGGUAGGGUGUUGGUGCUGAAGAACCAAGCAGCGACCCGUCUUGUAGCUGCCAUGUUUUGUCGAGGGGUUCUGGGGGUCCUGCUGCUUUAGAGCCACAUACUUCCACUUCCUGAUUCACUACUGUGAGCUGGUCAGAUGCCUAGAAGAGGAACAAGCGUUCAAAGUGAAAGUGGGCACAUUACCGGAAUAGUGCUGGGGAGAGUGCUGGAUUCUUUUCCACCCCAGGCGGACUGGUGAGAAGCCAGGCUUGGACCUGUCCUCUGCUCCUAGCUUGCACACUCAGCCCUAAACUCAGAGCAGCACGCAUACCACCCCUCACACACACCCCACCAUCCAAGUGUGCCCUUUCCUUCUUGACUUUUUAGCAGUUCUGGGUAAAUAUUGAUUUGCCCCCAGUUUACCUUCUCCCUGACUGGCCAUUUGCAGACUCAGGAACUAGCCUCUGUAGGGACUUGAUUUUUCUGUUACUUUCUGGCCGUUUCACCACCCCCCUUCCUCCCUCCAAGUGGCAUUGUAAAACUCACAGUGACAAAGAGACAGAGUAGGGUUCUAGGCCCCUGUUCCUGGGGACUUGAAGGCGGUUUUACAUACUGGUCAGACACGGCUGGAGGCCAAGGUCAAGUUGAAAGUUGCAGUCCAGCCAGCAUGAGAACUGCCAUGCGAGCGUAGAGACACAGGCAGCAGCAAAAGGCCCAUUGCCCACAUCCCCUCACUCUUAAUUUUCUCUCUCUUUUUAAAAUUCUCGCCUCUGACUCUGUUCGGCUGCCCAGAAUUUUUUGGUGCCUUCGUGGGGUUUUUGGGGCGGUGUUUACCGACUCUUCUCUGCCUCCGCCCUGCUCAGCCAGGGCUUUGAGCCUCUUCGGUUUUCCGGCCAGACCCGGAAAAACGAAAACACAGCUUGGGGAGCCCCCACUAGCCGGCGCCUGUGCCAGCUCACCUCUGGCCAUGGCGCAGCUGCCGGUGCACACGGCGGCCAAGGCCAGCUCCACAUUCUUCCCUCCCCCUCCCACUUCACCGUAGCCCCGAACCCUGCGCGCAGAGAAAGGGUCUCAGCUCCACAGACGACUGGGUCCCUCCUCACCAAAAAUGGUGAGACAAGAUUUCAUCUGUCGGCCGAGGAGCCACAAGCAGGUUUGUCUGAGAGGGAUGGUGCUGGGGGAAGGCUUUGGAUUGCAUCUCAAAUUAAGCUUUGCUCCUUAAAUGUGGCGCUCUCGCCAAGAAAAAGCUUGGGGACUGAAUUCUUGAGAUUUAUGGUGCACCUUAUUGAUCAAAUUUAUCUGGACUUUUUUUAGUUCCCCGGCCACUUUUGCAGAACAUCUUAACCCUCUCUCUCCCACCCUAGGUGGGCUGGGGCACAGAGAUAAUGGCAAAGGAAGAAAGAUCCAGAGGAAAAACUGGUUGAGGGGCUGAGGAGAGAGAAAGAGAAAAGACGAAAUCGUCAAACAGUGUAGCACCUCUGAAGCCAAACUUGAGCAGAUCAUUUGGGAAAGGAGCAAGUGGGGGACUGCUCUGCUUAUGGAGGGAAUUUUGAGUGUCCCCAUCAGGUAGAAGCUGUACCCUCUUUCUUAAGGGGAAAGGGUUGGUAGGUCCUGAGAUCUGGGCUGAAGUUGGCCAGCGGACAGGGAAAUGGUGCAUCGAGUCACUCACUCAACCUUUUGUUCCAGAUUUUUGUGCAUUUGAAACAAUAAUAAGGCAGUAAAAGGCUUGAGGCUGUGGGAUAGUUUUGGGCUAUUGUCACUGUGGUGACCAAAUGUUAACAUGGUGAAAGUGGAAGUGCAAGGUCCAGGAAGAUCUACAGGGACCCCCACUUUGCCUUUAAGAUCCCUUCAUGGGGUGGAUCUCAAGGACAGCAGGUUUUUGGAGGAGCAGCUCUCCUGCUGCCUGUAGAGUUUUUUGUUUUGUUUUGUUUUUUCAGGUACCACAAAGCCACUAGUGCACAGGGACUCAGAAAAGACGGCAGGAGCCCAAGGAAAACUCCAAUUUGAGUACAGCCCUGCCUUGUUUCCCCCAGAGAGUCCCUGAGCAAGGAGACCUCCACCCCACACACACCAUUUCAGAACAACCAGGUUCCAGACUCCCAUGAGGAGCAUCUCCCACUGCAGAGCCUUGGCCAGCCGCGCCCGGACUCCUCAGAGCUGGCGCAAACUCCGUCCUCCAAAACUCGGCUCUGGGAGGCCUAAGUGACUCCGAAGCCGGCGGCAGCCGCGGCAGCGGCCGUGGUGGUGGAAGAGCUCUUUUCCCCGACAGUGCCACUGAUCGCUCUUCACUGGAGCUGGAAACAGCCUUCGCGGAAAGGACCGGAGCAUGCGUUAGAAGCAGAGGGAGCUUGGUGAAGGGCUCGGCUGGAAGGAGGAAACGCCUUCUCGCAGUGCGCGGCCAGCCCGCGGGGGACACCGGCUUGCUGGACUGCAGGGGCCCGUGCCACCCAGGAAGUGACCUGCGGGUCACUCAGCCGGGGCGCUGGGCGAGCGCGGGACGGCCCGGAGAAUUCCGUGCGGCUGCGACGGGAAAAGGACGAGGGGUCUCUGUACCCGACGCUGCCACUGGCCCAAAGGAAUUUUACCCGCGAGCGCCCACCCCACCCUAGCUUGAUGCUUACGCCCGCAACAAAACAGGAAACCAGGACUGGGCAGUGCAUUCUUUAAGUCAACAAAUACACUGAAGACUUCGAGCGUUUGAAGGAAGGAGGGGGUUUGCACGUAAGCCUGGCCCCGCCGGGCUCGGCUUUCUCGCUGAGAAAGCGGCGCAGGCAGCCAGGCGGCCUGGGCCCGCGGGGGUCCAUCUCGCCCUAGACUCCUAAGAACUCCCACGGCCCUGUUCCCAGCUGCGAAUUCUUAAUGCACAACGCGACGGAGGGAAGGAAAUUCACCAGCGCAGCGACGAGGAAGGGGAACUCAGGACCCCUUCAAGUACACACUGAGGUGUGAUCAGAGUUUUAUGGGCACUUUAUAUGCUGUAAUCAUAACGAUGUGUGUGCCUUGAUAUGCACGCAUAUUCACGCAUCAAACGUGCAUACACACACAGAGUGAAUGUGCGCAUCCAAUGUCAUGUGGGUGAAAUACAAGCAUCAUACCCAGCCCUACGAAAAAAAAAUUCACCCUGUCGGACCAGGCUGGUGACAUACUUCGCUGGCGCAUCUCCUUACUCACUCUUACUUUUCCGACCCCUCACCAUUCCCUCUCCUGUGGCUUGGUAAAUACACCUGCCCUCCGUGGAAGGUGAGUCCUGGACUGGCGUUGCCAGGUUCGCAUGUCCUCCCCAGAACCUCCGUCUGGCUCCAGGGACUCUCACUGAGCGGGUCUAGAGCACCCAGCACUUUUCAAGGAACAGCCGCGGUUCCUUUGUCCCGCGGCUCCAGCCCCGUUCGGCCCAGCUCUCAGGGAAACGAAGCGCUCAGUAAGAACUUUUGAUAUUAGUUUGUAUGGGUAUUUACACUCUGGUGAGGGGAGCUGAGUACGGAAGUUCCAUUAAUCAUACUCCAACCUUGGGUUUAGAUAUUCAGUUUAUGGGUUGGGAGAGGGAGUUUGCCGGAAAGAAAGCAUCAAGGUUGGCCGCUGACUCCAGAGAAAUGAAAAGGGAGCAAGGUCGUUUUCUGUUUCUGGAAAUCAAGAAUUAGGAAUGGGCAACUACAGGUGCUAACCAACAGACCACUUUUUUGUUUUUUGGUAGCCCUUUGGCAGGGAUAGUUUUUCCACCUUUGCCCGAUACAAUUUAAAAAAAAAAAUCCUUUUAUUAUGGAAUUUGUCAAACACACACACAAGCAUAACAAACCCCUAGGUACCCAUCUCCAAGUUUUGACCCCUAUUAUAAUUUCAUCUUCAGUGUUUUAUUAUCCACUUCCUCUCUCUCUAUCUUUAGUAUUUUAAAGUAAAUCCCAGAUAGCAUCACAUCAUUUCACCCCCACCAUAGGAUUUCAAAGAUCUGUUAUAUUUCAAGAUUGAGUAAAAGGGCUUGAAAUUGGGUUAUUGCAAUGAAACUCUAGAAAAAGCUUGAGGGUUCACCCAGGAGUAAGCUGGACAAAAAAGGGGUUUGAGGGGUGGACCCAUCUUGCCUAAAAAUCUUGUCUCAUCUUUCUAAAAAUUACAUAUGAAAGAGGAAGAUUUAUGUUACUUUUUUAUAUGAGAGAAUCGUCCUUUAAUAGAAAAUUUCUAUUGCUGCAUCAGAAUUAUGGAGGAACACAAAAAACAUACCUCAGUCCUUAGUGUGUCCUAAAUUAACACAUAUUCACUUAUUAGUGGGUAAAUGACUAUAUUUCAUUUCAGCACAACUUCUCCCCUGGUAGAAACACAAAAGAAAUUUCUAAUGAUUAAACUAGGAAAGUUUGCACUGAAUUGAUGGCUUAUCAGAGCAACCGCAGUUUUCAGGAAGAAAUUCAAUGCCAUGCGUUGAAAAUAUCCCCCUAGCAAUAAGGGAUUAUUUUUAAAAAAGAAUGAAUAAAGAUGUUCUGGUUUCUUUUGUUUUAAUCUGGUAGUCUCAUUUACAACGAGCAUGAUUCUCCCUGUCGAACUCUGAAAGUGACUUAACUGAAAGGCUUGGCAACUUCAGAAAGCAAAAAGGUAAAAACAGAAAAUAGCACACGGUUGAAUUUGACAACUUUUACACUACCCGGCUGCUUAAUAAAUUCUAACCCCACUUGUCUGAGUGGAUACUGAUCAUCUUUUCUAUGGCAGUAUUUUGUAUUUGGGUUGUUUAUGGUUUCUUAAUUAAUUUUUUUGAGUAGUGAUUAAAUAUCUGGGAUGCUUUUACACUAAGCAUAUAAAUUCUCAUGGUAUUAGAAAAGAGCUAUUUGAUGAAACUCAUAAGGGGUAUGUAAAUUAAAAAAGAGAAGAAAGUGUGUGUACAUAUUUUACAAUAAUCUCGAACGACUCCAACUAUAUGUUGCAGAAGCCAUGAGCUCUCUGCCCACUGUCUGUGGGGUAUCAGCAAGAUUGACUCCUACCAAGCCUUGGGCACAGUGGUGG
rnacentral:lncRNA from 10 species